GGACGCAAAUGCCUGUCGGCCAAAACAAAUUCGAAACGGCUAAAAUGAAUGCACAAAAUUAUCCAAGAGUAAUUUUGUCAUAAAGCUAUUUUUAAAGAACGAAGUCGCUGGAAGGUUUCAGUUGCCAUCCUCUUUUCUGCUUCUUUCUUUCCGUCUCUUUCUGCCCCAGUUUCUUUAUCUCUCAAACCCUAAUUUUUCUGUCUUUCUGAUCUCAUCUCUCUACUCGCGCCGAUCAGUCGAACACCGUCCGGGAAUGCGUCUCCGAAUUCAUUAGCUUCGUCACCAGCGAGGAAUUUUCACCUCUCUCUCUCUAUCUCUCGUUCUCUGUCUACUGUUAGUCAAAUUUGUUUAGAUCUUUUCAUCGGGGUUACAAACGGCAACACUCUCUUGCUGAAGAAUAGCGAAUUUGGUCUCGGUUUGAAGAAAAUUUGAAGCCCAUAAAAGAUUACAUCUCCUGCUGUCGAUUUGAUUUGGGAGAUUGGGUUUUUCGAGUUUGUGACUUUUCUUUGAAGCCUGCGAAGACCUGUGUGUUUAAGGAGAUCCGGUUUUUCGGGUUUCUGACGUUUCUUUGCAGCCUGCGAAGGCCUCUGUAUUUAAGCUGAAAUAGCUAAAGUUGAGAAUGUUGGAUCUGUUGCCUUAGGGAAGAAAUUUUAAACCUACAAAAGCUUGGUUUUCAGGAAAUCGCCAAUCCUGCAGACACUUUGGGUUUCCUGCUUUCUCACCAGAGAUCUCCGCCAUCACAGCUCCACCAAACUCGCUGAUAGCGUCCACUCUCUCAAACCAGAUCUUUGAGAGGACACCCAUCAUUUGGCUGAUUGCAUAGGAUUGCUACAUCUGAACACUGUACAGGCCUCUAGAAGUUUGAAUUGUGAUUGGAAAUUGCAGUCCACACAUGGAGUAUAGGAGGUGCGGCUUUUUGUAUUUUUGGCCUUUUUUAUCAGCUGUUGUAACAUUUUUGUAAUAGAUGAUUUUGGGUCUUUGAAAUGGUUACGUGUUGUUUUUAACCUUUUGGUUCUCGUGUGUUCUGUUCUUCAUUGCUUCGUGAUUCUCAUUUUUCAGUAUUGGGUAAUGGAAAUUUGUAAAAAUAGUCAGUACGUUUUUUUAGAAAGUUGGCAUUUUUAGUUAUAUUUUAUGUUUAAUCCCAAAUGUAAGACUGGAAAAUAAUUGAAAUGAUGGUUUUUUAAAAACUCUUAAUUUUUUUUUUCUUCUAGGAUUUAAAAGCAUCUUUUCCCGAUUGGUUACAAGGGUUAUGUUCUCUAUAAUUGGUUCACCAUGUUUGAUUAAUUCUAAGUUUUGUACUACUAAGUUUUGUCUUCUGUGUAAUGAGAUAUUUCUUUUGGUCUUUCAGAUUUCGGCAUGGGAAAGUUCACCUUGUCUAAUUAGAUUGUGUAUGCCUUCAGUUCUUUAUUUAAUUGUUCUGUUUGCGUUCGGUGCGAUGAUCAAAAUUUUAUAUGUUUGGAAUUAUUCACUUAACACCAAUUUGUUACAUUCAGGUCUCCACCCCACACUUCACAAGUUCAAUAGAAGACGGUUCUGUAGAUUGUGUCUGCAAUUAGAUAAGAGAUCAACCGUUAUUUUGUUAUCAUUUAAAUUAUAUAAGUCGCACGUAGAACGCCUUAAUUACAAAAGGGUCUUCCGCACGCGCGUGAGUGCGUGUAGGGAGGCUAGUAUUAACUAAAGUUGAUUUGAAUGUGAUGACGAUGGCAACCACUAACAAUAAAACAACAAUCUCCUUAAUCUAGGGGAAAGAACCAACAGGUGAGGAAGAAAAGAAAGGAGGAAAGAGAGCUCUGCUCAUGCAAAUGUGCUUCUUGGGGAUGUUGGAGCUGGGAAAUCAAGUUUGGGGUUGCGCUUUGUAAAAGAACAAUUCGUUGAAUUCCAGCAAAGCGCGGGCAUUCUUGCUAGUGAUAUUGAUUCUGGAAGCAUGCCGAAACAAGGUUGUUUGAUCGCAAUUCACAAGAAUUGCUCCUCCAAUUAGGCUUCCACAACAUCAAUAACCCUUACGUUGAUAUGUACUUCCAUUACACCAAGGACGCCAUGUCGAUCGUGGAAUUCCACAAAACUCUGAUGAACCAAGUGCUUCCCUUGGCCUGGUCGCAUAAUCCUCUAACCACACACAAACUCAUCUGCAAUUUCAUAGACAGACGCGGCGACGGUGAAAAACGCAACCAAGACGAAGCUUUCUUCACAGCGGCGGUUUGGCUCCACCAGAACCACUCGAAAACCCUUGCAUACAAUCUUGUGCCAAUUUCCGGCUCCUUUGGACAUAUCCUACACCUUCCCUGCAUUCUUUUGCAAGUUUUACGAGGCGAAGCUCACUUGAAAUUUACUGGAAGGACGAGGGAAGAGGCGGAUUCAAACGGAAUGGUGAAGGUCAAGGAUGCCAAGUCAGAGGUAAGCGAAUUGUUGUUGAGGAGGAAGGUGAUCCACACGGCCAACAAGGCGGCUCAGAAAUACAAGCGCGACGUUGAUUAUUGCUUCUUGCACAACCGUGUUUUGGAUAUUUUUGCCCAGAGCCUCAAGUUUGAUAUUGAAAAAUUUCAUCAUCAUAAGGACCAUGACCAUGACCAUCAUGAUGAUUAUUGCUUGGAGAUUACCCAAGUAGUUACCUUUUUGCCUACCAUCGCUGAUCAUCAUAUGUUGUUCGAAAACAUUGCGAGGAAGGUUUUCCGGUCAGAAUCAUGCCUCUGAGAAGGGGAUAGUAGUCUUUGUUGUAUUGACCGACUGAUGAAGGAGGUUUUGUCGCCCUUGAGAAAAACUAUGGCGCCAGAGGCCAGGGUACCUGCCAACCGGUGGGGUUAUAGAGCGGAGUACAAGCGAGAGCAACUGGCUGUAGCUAAUGAGGUUGAUCCUGGCGUGCAGCGCUGCUUUCGCAUGACAUAUUAAGCUAUAUCAAGUAUUUUGAGCUUGAGCAAGAGGCUGAUGUUAAGUGGAAGGAAAUGAUGGAGGUCUACUCAAAUCAGGGGAAGCAGAAGAAUUGGUUGGAUGAGUGAUGUCGACAACACCUUGUCGGUGGGUUUGGCUUUGGGGCUUUUGUUGCUUCAAUUGAGUGAUGAGCCGUGGAAGGGAAAUGUGGUCACCUAAAGCAAAGACCCUCAGCUGCAUUCGAUACAAGGCGAGGAUCUUAAUUGGAGGGCCGAAUAUAUGCAAACUUUGAUCAAAAGCCAGGACUGGACGGCUGAUUUCGGGAACGUGUUCGAUGUGAUUCUAGAAGAGGUAGUGAAUGCGAAUUUGAAGCUAAAUAAGAUGGUCAAGAAGGUGUUUGCCUUGACCACAUACAAACACUUCUUGACAGGCAGCAACUUCAGCUUCUGGGGGGAGAUUAAGAUGUCUCCCUUUGUUCUUCUAGUUUAUGCUACUGCUUUCACUUCUCCAAAGCUCUCCUUUCUUUGAGUUCUGAUGAGACUAAGAGAAAGUAUAUAUAGGGGCAUAUGUGUUGCUAAUAAGUGUGUGUGUGUGUGUGUUUGUGUGUGUGUGUGUAUAUACAUGUAAUUAAUACUUUUGUAGAGGAGCAAAGUGAGUGACAAGAACUAAAAAAGUGGGACUGGAAAACGGUAGGCUUAUAACGUUCAAAUUCUAACAGUCACUUUGAGUGGGGCAAUAAAAACGAAUAAAAUGUGGGGCCUGGACUUGUUGCCUCAAGUGAUCUGGCACUGGCACUUCCAAAUGUAAAGAAAAAGGGCACAAAGACAACUAGAUGAGCACCAUAGCCUUAAAUGGGUUGAUCUUA